UACGGGGGGGGCAAGCGUUGUUCGGAAUUACUGGGCGUAAAGGGCUCGUAGGCGGCCAACUAAGUCAGACGUGAAAUCCCUCGGCUUAACCGGGGAACUGCGUCUGAUACUGGAUGGCUUGAGUCCGGGAGAGGGAUGCGGAAUUCCAGGUGUAGCGGUGAAAUGCGUAGAUAUCAGGAAGAACACCCGUGGCGAAGGCGGCUCUCUGGGACGGUACUGACGCUGAGACGCGAAAGCGUGGGGAGCGAACAGG
rnacentral:rRNA from 1 species